CUAUAUAACUCGGGGAGUUACCAUGAUCACUAAAGUGGUUUUCCAGAGCUGAGCCUUAUCCAUUGCACUCAAGAUGUGCUAACCUCUGCCAUUUUUCCGCUACAAAAAUAAUUCAACUGAGUAAUUUAUACAGCCAUGAGGUACUGUGUUUGUGCUCUCUCUGA
rnacentral:snRNA from 1 species